UUUUUUUUCUACCGAGUUGUAAUUGAGGUUUUGACGUGCCAUCUCAUUAGGUAUAUUCCAACUUGUCGGAAUAUACCUAAUAAGAUGGCACGUCAAAACCUCAAUUACAAAGCGGUUGAAAAAAAAAAA
rnacentral:pre_miRNA from 1 species